rnacentral:tRNA from 1 species
GCCGGAUCAGCACGAUCGGUCGUGCGGCCGGUCUGUACCCGGCAGGCCGUCGGUUCGAGCCCGACAUCCGGCUCCA